rnacentral:rRNA from 1 species
UACGGGGGGGGUAAGCGUUGUUCGGAAUUACUGGGCGUAAAGGGCUCGUAGGCGGCCAACUAAGUCAUACGUGAAAUCCCUCAGCUUAACUGGGGAACUGCGUGUGAUACUGGAUGGCUUGAAUCCGGGAGAGGGAUGCAGAAUUCCAGGUGUAGCGGUGAAAUGCGUAGAUAUCUGGAGGAAUACCGGUGGCGAAGGCGGCAUCCUGGACCGGCAUUGACGCUGAGGAGCGAAAGCCAGGGGAGCAAACGGG